UCAAUUUAAGUAUUCCAUGGAAAUACGGCACAUUUGACAUUUCCACAAGAUCCGAUUAAAUGUUUCACUCCAAACAUCAACCGACUGAAGAAUCCAAAAACGUUCCAAAGGUCAGAUUGAGGGAACUGCUCACGUGUUGCAUCAACCAUUUACACAACUCUUACUUAACCCUCUGAGCUUGUUUUUGGACAUCUUUUCCUGCGUGUCUGUGUGUCAUCUCCACAUCUCCACCACAACAAGCCUGCAGAUCUGGCCUGCUGGAGGAACAUGAUGGCGCCAAACUGAAUGCAACAGAGGACCAUCACAAGUCACCAUGGACCCUCAGAGCAGAAGACAAGCUGUAAGUCCAGCAGCACCGGAUGGGGGCUACGCCUGGUUCAUCCUGGCGUCUUGCUUCCUGGUUUUUGGGCUGACCUUUGGUGUGAUUAAGUCUUUUGGUGUCUUCUACGUCGAGAUACAUCAGUACUUUCAAACGUCAGCAGCAGGAACAUCAUGGAUUACCUCCAUUGCAGUGGCAACUGUUCACAUUAUAGCUCCGCUAGCAUCAGCUCUGAGUGCACGCUUCAGCCAUCGCUCUGUAGUAAUGGCGGGGGGACUGAUGUGCAGCGCAGCAGUUGUGUUUGGAGCGUUCGCCCGUAACCUGACUCAACUCUACAUAACUGUGGGCUUCCUUAACGGCUUUGGGUACGCGCUGACCUGGACCCCCACGGUGACCAUGCUGGGCUUGUACUUUGAUAAGAAACGUCCAGUGGCAAACGCCUUGGCCAGCUCUGGAGAGUGCAUAUUCACCUUUGUCCUCACCCCCCUGUUCCAGCUGCUGAUUGGCUGCUUCUCUUGGAGGGGUGCUUUACUGAUCCUCGGGGGGCUGCAGUUAAACCUGUGUGUUUGUGGGAUUCUGCUGAGGCCCCUGAAAGCCACACGAGAUGUGAAUCAUGUCGGUGAGGUCAGGAAAGAGGAAGGCUUGCCUCUCUCUACGGAGGAAUCAGAUGAGACCCAGAAGAGUUUUAAAAUAGAGAGUAAACCGGACAUGUCGGAAAAACCGGAGCAGGAGGAAAUAAAAUCACGUUUUGAUGAACUACGUGAGAAAUUCAAACUGACCAAAGACUCAAGCCGAAGCUCAAAGAGGACUGGGCUGAGGACCAGCGUCCUACACUAUGUGGAUUACACCCUUAUCACACACGCCCCUUUUAUGGUGUACUCCAUGUUUGGAGUGUUUGCUGCUUUGGGUUUCUUUGCUCCGUCUCUUUUCCUGGUUCCAUACGCUCGCAGCAAGGGCAUGGAGGAGUACCGCGCAGCCGCCCUCAUGUCCGUGUCUGCAGUGACGGAUCUCUUUGGAAGAGUGUUCUUUGGCUGGGUGGCGGGCCUGAGGCUUGUUGAGACGGUGCAGCAGCUGGCGGUCACCGUCAUGCUCCUCGGCGCCAUUUUGCUCCUGUGCCCACUUGCCUCCACGUUCUCAGAGCUGGUUGCUUUCAGUGCAGCUCACGGCCUGGUGUUCGGAGCGACGGUUGCCGUCCACAUCACGGUGCUGCCCGAGGUCGUGGGCGUCCACCGGCUCGGCAGCGCCCUGGGGUUUUUCAUGCUGAUGCGCAGCAGCGGAGGCCUGCUCGGACCGCCCAUCGCUGCAGUGGCCGGUGCGGCUCGUCCGUGCAGAACAUUCAUGUGUCCACAAAGCUGCAGGAGGGUAAGAAGACAGCAGAAAGCUUUUCCUGUCAAAUUCUUAUUAAUUUUGUCUGUUGAUUAAACUAAAGCUAUGAAACAGAAUGGGACAAAAACAUGUUGCUGGUUGUCACGUAAGCCAUUUUCGAUGUGUACACGUGUGGUUGCUGUUGUUUUGGUCUUUGCUCGUUUCUUCCCUCCUUCAGUUUUCGUUGUCGCUAUCCAACACCUGUUCUGUAUUUCAGUUAUCGCCCUCCCUGCACCAAUGCUCCCUGGUUUCAUGCUUCACUUUUGCAUCACUUUGUCUCGUUUCCCACCACCACUGUUCCAGCUCAUUGUUUUCCCUUUUCACUGUUUUCACUACUUUAUUAGAAGUGAAACGUUUGACAUUAACAACUCUGAUGGUUUUGGACAGCUGGUUUAAGCGUGUUACUGGAAACCAAACAAACAUCUAUUUGAAUCUGACGCUUGGUUUUAGGUAAGCUGCAGAAAGCUGAAUUAUUUAUCUGCUAACUUGAUCUUUUCUGUCAGCUGCUUGCGUCUUGUCCUGAUGAAGCCUACGGCACUGUGGGAAGCACUUCUCUUCUUCCCCGUCUCUGCAGCAGAAUGUUUAUAUUCUGAGCAACUACCAGGAAAUCCAGCUUCUAUGAACCUGAACCAAGAAGAGCCCCUAGAUAAACACUCUGACCCUGGAAUGAAUCAGUUACAUAAACUAGUAUAAAUAAACACGUCACUCCUCAUAAAACCCACAAUAACACACUUUCAAGGAAGUUUUUUCUAAGUGAGGCUUCCACUGUUUUCUCUCACACGCACGCACGCAUGAAAGUACACACACACACACACACACAUACACACACACGUUUCCCCAAAGGUCACUUCUGGUUUGGUUUUGCUUUGAAGUUGGUUGAUUUCAGGUCCAAACACACGUUUGGUCUAAAGGCGUGAGGGCAUGUGUGAAAAUCUGAUGUUGCAAAAAGGACAAACGUGAUGAAAAUGUUUUCAGAGCUCGGGCCUUGACCGUGCUGAGAUUUAUUAAAAAGAAAGGAAAAUCUAGAAUGCAGCUUUACAGCGCCGGGUCCAAAAGGGCCGAAAACCCAGACAGCCUUGAAGUGAAACAGGAUUUACUGAACCGCUCCCGAGUAAAUCUGGCCCCGCCGUGGAAUCCCGGAGCUGAAGGUCAGCGUGGAAGCAGCUGAAAUGCUUUUCCCUUUUUUCUCCGACCCCGGGGUCAUGUUGAGGAAUGCUGCGCAGCUACCUGAGCUCAAAGGGCUCAGUAACAGGAUGGGAGGGAAAUGUGGAAACGCAGCUUUAAACACAACUGUUGCUGAUCAGAGUGGUAAAAAAUGACUCAUUCAGAAAAUAUUGGUGCUUUUUUUAUGCUCUGGGUGAAUUAGAAAUAAAUGAGUGGAGCACGGGCAGAGGCUGAAAGAAUGUGCAAACACAAACAGCUUUGUUGUGAUUUAGUUUUGGGAAUGUUUUAGUGUCUAAAUUCACAGAGAAAUUGUUUAAUUUUAGCUAAUGACUCUUUUUGUGUACGCCUGACUCUAUUUGAUCUGCUUUCUAUUCGUCAUCCUGCCUUUCCCUUAUUUCUGUAGAAGUCCCUGCCAAACUGGAUCUUUAACAGCUGUUGCCUUUAAAACAUCGAGACUCUUGUGUUUCCAACAAAGCUAAAAGAAACGUGUUUGGACUGUAAAACUGCGGGACGUCUUUGGGGUUUGCUUGUCCUCACACCUUCAUUAAUCUGGUUUCCAGCCUUAAGGAUUUAAUGUUUUCACCCGCAUCAACACACGCACACGUCUGUAGAAAUGCUUCGACACAAAAGGUCUCGUUGUCAUUUAACAUGCAGAAAACAGCAAUUUUAACAUUAAAUGUUUGUUUCUCACUUUCUGACCACACCACGUCUUCUUCUAACCCUUUCACGCCCACAUGUUUCAUGCAGAUGCCAAGCUGGUCUGCAUUAUGAAACAAAAGUCACACGUUCACGUUUACCUCACUGCCUGCACUCAUAGAGGAGUCCGAGGAGCUACCCAGCUCUCCGAGCCACAUCUGGGUCUGAACAGCUGCCAAAUAUUACCAAUGAAUCCGGCUGGGAUUGAUUUUGACAGUCAGAGUGAGAGCAUGUGAUCAUUCAUUCAUUCAUUCAUGUUCCUGGGCAGAGGUGAGUCACACCAUCUCCUCUCACCAGAGUCUGAGUUAAUUCUCCACAGGUGAGGAGCAGAGGGAGCAACAGCUGCAGGCCAUUCCCAAAUCAGGAACGCGGGUUUAAAAGGAGGAUGGAGACACUUCACCUUGCCGGAUGAUUGCACCAGUUUAGGGAGCACCAGCCCUUGACUCUGAACUUUGAUCUUGUUAACUCGUGUUUUGACUCGCCUUCGACUGGAUCUUCUCAUCAUCUACUCACCCUCGCUGUCUUCGUUUUCUGGAUCUCUCACCCUCUGCCCAGCGUCCUCCCCGGCUUCCCCUCCUCUCCUGAUUAUCCUGAGCACCUCAGAGACUCGAGCCGUAUUGCUCAUCCCCACAGGACUUCCCUGGGCUGU